rnacentral:sRNA from 1 species
CGAUCUAAAUCCCGAAUCAGUCUGUACCUGUUUUUGCCCUUCGCCAUCACGCACGCACGGUCUGGAAGACCCAUUGUGUGGCCUAUGCAUUUAUCUCUGAGACAGUACUGCCCCCAUCAAAUGUGUGGGAAAGAUAUCAUGUGAUAUGAAAAGACUCUAAUAACUGAAGGUGAAUAUCAUACUAAGACAGUCUCGGGUAUGGAAAGGAUUUAUUGGCAAUUGAGGGUACAGCCAACGGCAAGCUUAGGCGGUACAUGAUAUCUUACCCAGUAAUAUUUCAUGGCAAUUGAGGGUCGAGAGAUCCCCUCUUACUCAGUAAUAUCGAUUUCAUCCACUAUAACGAUUGAUGUUCUUGUUUUUUCUUAAAAAUAAAAAACAAAUGAAAUACUGAAUUAGUUUAAAAAACAACAAUAAAU